rnacentral:piRNA from 1 species
UUCACAGUGUUGCAAGUCGCCAGUACC